GGAGGAGGAGGAGGAGGAGGAGGAGGACUCGAUUGGGCACGACGUGUCGUCUCUGAGGGAUGUUGCUACUGGGGCAGGGAGUGAUCUCCAUGAACAAAAUUUUCUGUUUGCCCGUUCUGCAAUGUGAGAACUGCUAGCAAGGCCUUCAGAAUUAUGAAAAAAUUCGUAUUGUAUCGCAAAACUCUGAUUCAAGCCAAGACACACAAAAAGGAAAGAAUUGUGCACCAAGAGAUCUCCAGUGUACCAAAUUGGAUGUGAAGUGUAUACUGGGAAAGGGAAUUUAGUGAUUUAAUAAGAAGAGAAGAAAAAUCAGUGAGAAAUUGCAUAGAAGUGUCAAUCAGGAAAUGGAGCUGUCCCAUGAAAAAACGCCAUCGGUACAAGGAUUUCCUGAAUGUUGACUGAUUAUGCUCACCAAGGCCUUCAGAAAACACCAUAGAUGUUGCUUCAUAGUGACCUUCAGUCAAGGAGAUUUCGUAGCAAAGAAACUGUCAUGUAGGAGAGGUCAACAGCAAGAACACGCAGCAUGAGGCGCAGCCGCUACUGCCUUUGCUUUCUCCUCACAUUAUUAAGAAAGAUCUCUCUCGUUGGGCAGACUCUAAAACCCUUGAGCUGGAAAGGUGACACCGUCCUUGCUGUUUUCACCAGUUAAGAGAGUUCCCCUCGCAGCACAUCUUCAUUAACAGACAAAUAUGGAAGGAAAUAAGAGAGGAUGCUAAGAAAGCAAG